rnacentral:lncRNA from 1 species
AUCCAACCCCAUAUCCAUCCCCAUCUAACCCCAUAUCCAACCCCAUAUCUAACCCCAUAUCCAUCCCCAUCUAACCCCAUCUAACCCCAUAUAACCCCCCAUAGAUACCCAGCAGCGCCACCCAGUGGUCACACUCUGUAAUUACACCCCUACCCCCCCCAACCAAACCCCAUAUCUGACCCCCUAUACAACCCCAUAUCUGACGCCCUAUACGACCCCAUAAAUGACCCCACAUCCCAUAAUUUCCCCCCCUAGGGAGGUGCAGCUGACGGAGGACGCAGUGCGGCGCUACCUGGCCCGGAAGCCGAUGACCACCAAGGAUCUGCUGAAGAAAUUCCCGGCGCGGCGCACGGCGCUGAGCUCGGAGCAGACGGUCAACGCUUUGGCACAGAUCCUAAAGCGGCUCAACCCCGAGAGGAAGGUGAUAGGGGACAAGAUGCACUUCUUCCUCAAGGAGUAAUUUGGGGGGGGGCCUGGAAAUGGGGGGGGGAACAAAUGGGGUCUGAAGAUUGGGAAUCUCCAAUGGAAAGUUGAUGGAAACCCUAUGGAACCCAAUGGGACUCAAUGGGCACCCUAUGGGAACCCAAUGGAAUCCAAUGAAAGCCCUAUGGGAACCCAAUGGAACCUAAUGGAAACCCAAUGGAACUCAAUGGAACCCAAUGGAACCCUAUGGAAUCCAGUGGAACCCAAUGGGAACCCAAUGAAACCCAAUGGAACCCUAUGGGAACCCUAUGGAACCCAAUGGAACCCUAUGGAACCCAAUGGAACCCUAUGGGAACCCUAUGGAACCCAAUGGAACCCUAUGGGAACCCUAUGGAACUCAAUGGAACCCUAUGGAACCCAAUGGAACCCAAUGGAACCCAAUGAAACCCAAUGGAACCCAGUGGAACCCAAUGGAACCCUAUGGAACCCUAUGGAACCCAAUGAAACCCAAUGGAAACCCUAUGGAACCCUAUGGAACCCAAUGAAACCCAAUGGAAACCCUAUGGAAACCCUAUGGAACCCAAUGAAACCCAAUGGAACCCAAUGGGAACUCAAUGAAAAGCCAAUGGAACCCAAUGGAACCCUAUGGAACCCUAUGGAACCCAAUGGAACCCAAUGGAACCCAAUGGGAGUCAAUGGGAGUCAAUGGGAGUCAGCCCCAUGAGGAGGG